CCUACGGGAGGCAGCAGUGAGGAAUAUUGGUCAAUGGACGAGAGUCUGAACCAGCCAAGUAGCGUGAAGGAUGACUGCCCUAUGGGUUGUAAACCUCUUUUAUAUGGGAAUAAAAUGUUCCACGUGUGGGGUUUUGUAUGUACCAUAUGAAUAAGGAUUGGCUAACUCCGUGCCAGCAGCCGCGGUAAUACGGAGGAUUCGAGCGUUAUCCGGAUUUAUUGGGUUUAAAGGGAGCGUAGGUGGAUUGGUAAGUCAGUUGUGAAAGUUUGCGGCUCAACCGUAACAUUGCAGUUGAAACUGGCAGUCUUGAGUGCAGGAGAGGUGUGCGGAAGGCGUGGUGUAGCGGUGAAAUGCUUAGAUAUCACGAAGAACUCCGAUUGCGAAGGCAGCUCACUGGACUGCAACUGACACUGAGGCUCGAAAGUGUGGGUAUCAAACAGGAUUAGAUACCCCUGUAGUC
rnacentral:rRNA from 1 species